rnacentral:tRNA from 1 species
GGUGGAGUGGCCGAGCGGUUAGGCGGGGGUCUGCAAAACCCUUCACGACGGUUCGAACCCGUCCUCACACCU